AUUGAACGCUGGCGGCAGGCCUAACACAUGCAAGUCGAACGAGUGGCGGACGGGUGAGUAAUGUCUGGGAAACUGCCUGAUGGAGUGGGAUAACUACUGGAAACGGUAGCUAAUACCGCCUACCAUCAGCUGUGCCCAGAUGGGAUUAGCUUGUUGGUGGGGUAACGGCUCACCAAGGCGAUGAUCCCUAGCUGGUCUGAGAGGAUGACCAGCAACACUGGAAAGGAGAAACGGUCCAGACUCCUACGGGAGGCAGCAGGGGGGAAUAUUGCAAAAUGGGUGAAAGCCUGAUGCAGCCAUGCCGCGUGGAUGAAGAAGGCCUUCGGGUUUUAAAGUACUUUCAGCGGGGAGGCGUUACCCGCAGAAGAAGCACCGGCUAACUCCGUGCCAGCAGCCGCGGUAAUAC
rnacentral:rRNA from 1 species